AGCUUGCUCACGGGCUUUCUAUCAUAUCCAUAACACCUGUGCACUUGUUGGAUGUCUAGAGACGUAAAGUCGACAGUCAUCCACUUACACUAAACAAUAAUGUAACAAAUGUAGUCUUAUUAUAACAAAAUAAAACUUUCAACAACGGAUCUCUUGGCUCUCGCAUCGAUGAAGAACGCAGCGAAAUGCGAUAAGUAAUGUGAAUUGCAGAAUUCAGUGAAUCAUCGAAUCUUUGAACGCACCUUGCGCUCCUUGGUAUUCCGAGGAGCAUGCCUGUUUGAGUGUCAUGAAAACCCUCAACCUUAGAUUGGUUAUUUGACCUUUCUUUGGCUUGGAUUUGGACGUUUGCCGAUGUCAAGUCGGCUCGUCUUAAAAGUAAUAGCUGGAUCUGUCUCGCGACAUGGUUUGACUUGGCGUAAUAAGUAUUUCGCUAAGGACAUCUUCGGAUGGCCCUGUUGCAGGACUAAAGACCGCUUUCUAAUCCAUUGAUCUUCGGAUUAAUAUUCAUAACAUCUGGCCUCAAAUCAGGUAGGACUACCCGCUGAACUUAAGCAUAUCAAUAAG
rnacentral:rRNA from 1 species